GAUGAACGCUGGCGGCGUGCCUAACACAUGCAAGUCGAACGAAGCAUAAGUUCUGGACCCUUCGGGGAAAGGAACCUAUGUCUGAGUGGCGGACGGGUGAGUAACGCGUGGGUAACCUGCCUCAUACAGGGGGAUAACAGCCAGAAAUGGCUGCUAAUACCCCAUAAGCGCACAGUAUCGCAUGAUACGGUGUGAAAAAACUCCGGUGGUAUGAGAUGGACCCGCGUCUGAUUAGAUAGUUGGUGGGGUAAUGGCCUACCAAGUCAGCGAUCAGUAGCCGGCCUGAGAGGGUGAACGGCCACAUUGGGACUGAGACACGGCCCAAACACCUACGGGAGGCAG
rnacentral:rRNA from 1 species